UACGGGGGGAGCAAGCGUUGUUCGGAUUUACUGGGCGUAAAGGGCGCGUAGGCGGUCAGCACAAGUCAGUUGUGAAAUCUCCGAGCUUAACUCGAAAAGGUCAACUGAUACUGUGCGACUAGAGUGCAGAAGGGGCAACUGGAAUUCUUGGUGUAGCGGUGAAAUGCGUAGAUAUCAAGAGGAACACCUGCGGCGAAGGCGGGUUGCUGGGCUGACACUGACGCUGAAGUGCGAAAGCCAGGGGAGCGAACGGG
rnacentral:rRNA from 1 species